AUGUAUCUUACAACUACACGCCCAAAUAUGAUGUACGUAGUGUGUUUAAUUUCACGUUACAUGGCCAAUCCAAAGGAGGAACACAUGUUGAUUGCUAAAAGAGCAUUGAGGUACUUAAGAGGUACUUUGGAAUUUAGCUUAUUUUAUAGAAGAAGGACUACCUCGAAGCUUUUGGCAUAUACUGACAGUGAUUAUGCAAGAGAUGUUGAUGAUAGAAAGAGUAUUUCAGGGUAUGUGUUUCUCUAUUAAGUGAGGCAGCGGUUUGUUGGAGCUCGAAGAAGCAAGCCAUUGUUACCUUAUCCUCUACUGAAGCUGAAUAUAUUGCGGCAACCUCAUGUGCUUGUCGUUGUGUUUGGAUGAUAAGGGUUCUUGAACAAAUUAGAGAUGAAAAUUGUGAAUGUAUUGAUAUUCUUUGUGACAACAGUUCAUCAAUCAAGCUCUCUAAGAAUCCAGUGAUGCAUCGGAGGACUAAACACAUUGACGUCAGAUAUCAUUAUUUACGCGAUCUUUCAAAUCAGGGAGUGGUAAAGUUGGUUUUCUGUAGAACAAAAGAACAAAUUGCAGACAUUAUGACAAAGCCAUUGAAAUUGGACCAGUUUGUGAAACUUAGGAGGCUACUCGGAAUACAACCACUUGAAAAUUAA